rnacentral:rRNA from 1 species
UACGUAGGGGGCAAGCGUUAUCCGGAUUUACUGGGUGUAAAGGGAGCGUAGACGGCAUGGCAAGCCAGAUGUGAAAGCCCGGGGCUCAACCCCGGGACUGCAUUUGGAACUGCUGAGCUAGAGUGUCGGAGAGGCAAGUGGAAUUCCUAGUGUAGCGGUGAAAUGCGUAGAUAUUAGGAGGAACACCAGUGGCGAAGGCGGCUUGCUGGACGAUGACUGACGUUGAGGCUCGAAAGCGUGGGGAGCAAACAGG